rnacentral:rRNA from 1 species
UACGGAGGGUGCAAGCGUUAUCCGGAUUCACUGGGUUUAAAGGGUGCGUAGGCGGGUUGGUAAGUCCGUGGUGAAAUCCCCAAGCUUAACUUGGGAACUGCCGUGGAUACUAUCAAUCUUGAAUAUCGUAGAGGUAAGCGGAAUAUGUCAUGUAGCGGUGAAAUGCUUAGAUAUGACAUAGAACACCAAUUGCGUAGGCAGCUUACUACACGAUCAUUGACGCUGAGGCACGAAAGCGUGGGGAGCAAACAGG